UCAUAUUUAACAAUAUUAUUACUAGUGAUAGGAUCAUUAAAAACUACUUGAGAUAGGAAAUAUCCAGUGGCGCCCCUGAACACACCACUUCCUCCGACGACCGGAACCUCCCUUAAAGGGCUAGUUAUAUUAAGAACCCCCAAAAAGGUCAAAACGCUAUCUUGGUACUCAUCCAAAAACAAGUUCAUCGUUAUCGAACAUGACAAGUCAUCUCUGGUAUAAACUGUAUAAAUACCUUUUGCUUUGCCAAUAGCAUUCGUUGUGGUAUUGGGUUCGAAUUCGAGAAACAGUGGGAUGUCGAAAGCAAAAGUAGAACCAAAUUCAAAAAAAGCAGAGUCGACUCCGGCUAUAAGGACCGAUGAUGGAUUUGGGCCAACGUAUGUGUCGUUUGCGUAGAAAGAAAUUUUGGUAUUUGUGUUGUUUCCUUCUUGAGCACUGCAAAAGUUUAAGAAGAGAUGGAGAUGAAGAUGAAGAGUAUUGUGGUUGGAUUGAAUUUCGCCAUUGGAUUGUUGAUCUUAAUAUCUAAGAUAUGGAUUCUAUUUAUAGAACAAUUCAAACAAUAUCAUAGUAUUUUUUUAAUAAUGGAUGGGUCAUUGUGAUAAUAAUUAGAUUGAAUGUUAUAUAAAAUUACUUGGAUUUCAUUUUCUUUGAUGAUAUAUUAUUUUAUUUUGAUUUAACUUAGAUGUAAUUUUCUGAUACAUCUUCUAUAUUUAUUUGUAUAUUUUAUUCUAUAUUUACAAGAUUUUUACAAAAAUAUAAGAUUACACAGAGGUAUAUAAGCAAUUUUCAUAAAUAUUUGUAAUAUUUACGAAAAUGUCACUGACUCUUUAAGCGUGCUAAAGCGUCCGAGGCGGAAAAAAUGCUUCCUGGAAAAUGGAAACGCUUUUCAUUUUUUAAAAUCAUGGAUGUAAACCACAAAACUUACUCAAACAUAUCGGAUUGUUCCUUUUGUUGUAUGACUAAGUUUAAAAGACUAUCAUUUUCUGAAAGUAAAAAUAUUGCUACGAAUGUUUUUUUUAAAUUGCACAUGGAUAUAUGUUUAGGGACUAUUUCCCAUUAGCAAACAAAUAAUCAAAAAUAUUUUUUUGACCAUUGUUGUCUGUUGAUGAAUUUAGUAUGAAAUAUAUAGGUUUUAUUAAUGAAUUCUAACUCCGAUGUUAAUAUGAUAAUUUCGAAAAAUUUAAUAUUAAUUUGAAAUAAAUUUGAUAUAACAUCCAAGAUUAUCCGAUCCAAUAAUUGACUUGUUUUUACACUCCACAACAAAAUGAAAUGGUGGAACGCAAGCAUAAAUAUCUUUUGCAAGUUGCGAGAGCAAUAAGAUUCCAAUUAAAAAUAGCAUCAUCAAAACAAUAAUGACUAUAUAUAUGAUGACAUAAAAAUUAGUGACGUUUAAGACAAUGAUGACUUGGAUGGGGACUCCACUAGAUGGAUAUUUACAAUGCAUUUUUACAAGAUGACUUGGAUGGGGAGAUAUUCAUGAGACCACUCCAAGGACUGUUGAACCGAGAUGACAAACGAGUUUGCAAAUUUAAAAAGUCAUUGUAUGGCUUAAAGCAAACAUUAUGAAAUUAGUUUGCGAGACUAAGAUUAAAACGGUAAGAGAUAGGUUUUGAUCAAUCCACAGUGGACUAUUCACUCGUCACACAUAUCAAGGGUGAUAAAGUCACACUUGUUAGUAUAUGUGGAUGACAAAGUCAAAAUUGUUGGAGAUAGCUUUCCUCAAGGUACUGAGAUACCUGAAAGGAACACCUACCAGAGGUUUGGUGUAUAAGCAUGAAAAUGAAAUCAACAUAAUCGGCCACUGUGUUGCGGAUUGGGCAGCUUGCCCUAAAACCAGGAAGUCGAUCACUGGAUACUGUAUCUCUUUGGGUACAUUGUUGAUAUAUCUUGGAAGUCCAAAAAGAUCCAGUGAUUUCAAGAUCUUCAACAAAAGCUGUAUGUAGAUCAAUGACACAUGCUUCGGCUGAAAUAACCUUUAUUCAUUCUCUAUUGAAAGAAUUCAAUACAGAUUCUCAAAAGAAAGUAUUUUUUUGUGACAACGUUUCAACUAUACACACAGCUAAUAACCCGGUAUUUCAUGAACGAACAAAACACAUAGAGAUCGACUACCAUUUUAUUAGGGACAAAGUUCAACAAGGACUCAUAGUCUUGGCUUAUAUAGGAACAAGUCAGUCAAAGUUAUGUUAACAAAGUUAUUAGGAAAAAAUGAUAUAAUUAAGUUCCUUGGCAAGUUGAAUGUCUUCGACCUAUACUCUCCAAGUUGAAGGGGUGUGUUAAACUAUCAAUGUUUAGUGAUGUAAUUUGUGCAAGACUCAUUGACAAGGUUGAGUUCCACUUGAUUACUUGGACGUAAUCUCUCAAUUAUUUGAUGGCAAUUCUUCAUUAAUCAUGCCCAUCACCUUCAUCAAUCAUGCUUUAAGAUGACAUUGUACAGAAAACUUAUGAUGACGGAAAUCCACCAUCAAAAGUGAUCAUUGGUGGAUUUUCGCCAUUAUAAGACCGCCAUUGAUAAUUCGUUAUCACUAUAUCCGCCAUUGAUAAUUCGUUAUUUAUUAUUCCACAUCAUUUUUCACUAAAAAAAUAAUACAUGACGGAAAUUCGUCACUAAAUCUGAUUUUUUCGCAGGAACUGAAAAUUAUAUGGUGACGGAAAUCCGUCGUAUUAUAUGACGUAAAAGAAAUUUGAUGUCAAUUUAUCUAUGACUUCGAUCGUUCAUUUAUUGUAAUUUUGACUAUCGAUUAUGAUUUUCUUGAUAUUUCAAUUGAAUUUUAGGUUGAAUUGGGGGAAAAAUAAAUGGGUAAUACCAAAAUUCAUCCGACCCGUUUAUUACCCCCUUUUUUAACCUACGACCGGAUUUAGGAACCGGCCAAAUCCUGACUCCAACCCUGUCUCUAUUUAUAUAUAUAUUUUUUAUAACAAAGGGUAUCUUCGGAUGAUAUAAAAUACAUACAUAGACUCUUAUAAACCUUAAUAGUUAUUACUGUGAGUAGUUGAAUUAAAUCUCUUUGUAUCUAUUUAUAGGAAGUAAAAAUAAUAACAUGAAAUAUGAUGACUGAUAGUAAUAUUUAUUCAUAUAAAGUAAGAAACAUUGAUUUAUAAUAGUAGAUAUGGAUUUACAUCCAUCUUAAUGUAAUAAUAGAUUUUGAUAGAGAUUAACAUCAAUAUCAUAUUUAACAAUAUUAUUACUAGUGAUAGGAUCAUUAAAAACUACUUGAGAUAGGAAAUAUCCAGUGGCGCCCCUGAACACACCACUUCCUCCGACGACCGGAACCUCCCUUAAAGGGCUAGUUAUAUUAAGAACCCCCAAAAAGGUCAAAACGCUAUCUUGGUACUCAUCCAAAAACAAGUUCAUCGUUAUCGAACAUGACAAGUCAUCUCUGGUAUAAACUGUAUAAAUACCUUUUGCUUUGCCAAUAGCAUUCGUUGUGGUAUUGGGUUCGAAUUCGAGAAACAGUGGGAUGUCGAAAGCAAAAGUAGAACCAAAUUCAAAAAAAGCAGAGUCGACUCCGGCUAUAAGGACCGAUGAUGGAUUUGGGCCAACGUAUGUGUCGUUUGCGUAGAAAGAAAUUUUGGUAUUUGUG
rnacentral:lncRNA from 1 species